GGCAGGGACUCGCUGGACUGUGAGGAGAAGCAGUGUGUCCUCACCUUUCCACCUUCCUCUGGCCACAGCUUUAGCUGCUGAAUGAUAACAAGGCUGCCUGCCGAUCUCAUAAGAGGGCAUCUUGGGCAAGGCAAGGAGAAAGGGCUUUGGAGUCUUGAGUUCAAAUCCCGGCUCCCCCAGCUGCUGUGCAACCGUGAUGUAUGACAGCCUCUCUGGGCCUCAGUGUUUGUAUCUGCAAGAUGAGGCUCUGACAUAGACCUGAUUAGGUUAUGGUGAGGAUUACACAAUCCCUGCUUGAAAGGCACCUGGCUUGUUCUGAGUAAACCCUGUGACUCCCUUUAAUUCCUGGUGGGUGGCUUGCUUGUGCCCUCAUGAGGUUCAGCACUUGGCAGUACCCUGUCACCUGUUCAUCAUUAGCAAUGACGGACGCAAUGCUUCCUCUGUGACAAAGCCUCAUCCGACAGAGCAGGACUGCAGGGCUUCUCCAGGGCUUGGGGAGGGGGACAAGGGCAGUGCGCACAGUUCCUUUUUGUUUGCUGAUGCCACACUAGGCACGUGAAAGGGCUGGGUCAGAGAACCCAGCUUGGCCCACGCUGUCUCGGUUGGUGGCCGUCCUCACCUUCCUCACCCUUCAGAUCCCGUAGGGAGCCCCUGCGGUGGUGCCAUGGACGGGAAGCAUCCCACCGUGCUUGUGGCUCACCUCGAGGUCCAGGUGUCACUGCAUGGCCUGAAAAGGACUGUCUCCGAGCAGAACAAGCUCAUGACCAAGAACAAAGAGGACAUCUUGACCGUGUAAGUAAUGAUGACCGCUCUGUCCCCAGCUCAUAGGGACCCUGAGGACUCCAGGUUGCCUCCCUAUGUUGGCUCCUGAUUCAAGCAGAUGGCAGGGGGGUGUGUCCCAAGGAGCUGGGUGCUGAUGUCAGGAGCCCAGCACCCUUGUGGAAGCCAAGAACGACACUGAGGGGGCAAGAAGAGACUGUGAUGAGCUAAGUGAUGGUGUUGUCCCCAGCACGCAACAAGGGCUGGUGCGGCAACUGGCGACCUGAGAGGGAGGGCUGGUCCCAGCAGGGAGGUGUUCAUAGAAGGGAGAGAUUUUCGGUGAGGAGUGGCAGCACAGUCAUUCUCAACCCAGUGUGUCUUGGGAGAUGCCUAUGGGGUGGAAGUUGGAUGAUCAGGCUGUUAUUGGGUCAAUCUGAUUCAAGGAGAGGGAGGAGAGGUGACGUGGCCAGAAGGAGGGCAGGAGGGUGGACAGCAGAGAAUGCAGCCGGCCACCCGGGCCAUCCCCCUUGCCUCCACUCACUCAUCCUUUCCCACCCCUGGGCCGAGGAUGCGUCUCAUUAGGUAGUUUUCAGAUGGGUAAACUGAGGCAGGAGCCAUUCCAGGCCCAGAGAGGAGAGCCAGGAAGGCACGUGUUGUAAUCCCUGGGUUAGUUUUUCAUUCACACACAGGGGAACCUCUCCAGCCCUGCCACUCACUAGUUUUAAGAGGCUCAAGUGUUCUGAUUCCUGGCAGCAGCAACGUGGUAAUGCUUCUUUCUUGUUCCCUCCCUGAUCCCUUCUUCCCUCAUGCUUGAGGGCUUGGCCCCGCUUUUCUCCAUGUAUUUCCACCAGGGUGCCACACUGCCUGGAAUUGCAACCGCUGGGGCCUUGUCCAGUUUAUUAUCUCUCACCACAGGUGCAGGAAGGAGGCAGGGAGCAGGGCUGUGUCGCAGAGCAAGGCCAGGGCAUCCCACCCCACCAUGGCCGCCCAUCCCCAUGGCCUCCCUCAAGAUCAGGAAACUGCUCCACAUUGCAGUAACUAAGUGCACCAGGCGUGGCUGCUGGUGAGGGGUGGUCAGGCAGCACCUGUGGCCAGCCUAAAGGAAGGUCAAGGUUUGUGAAGGCAUCUGGUGCCUCCCCUGUUGAAAUUUCUUUUUCUCCUCCUUAUUAGUUGAAUCUUAAGAAUUGACAGUACCAUAAAACGUGAAACCUUUAUUUCUGCUUUUUAAAUGGAAAACCGGGCUGGGCACAGCGGCUCAUGCCUAUAAUCCCAGCACUUUGGGAGGCUGAGGUGGGCAGAUCGGCUGAGGUCAGGAGUUCAAGAUCAGCCUGGCCAACAUGGUGAAACCCCAUCUCUACUAAAAAUACAAAAAUUAGCCAGGCAUGGUGGCACAUGCCUGUAACCCCAGCUACUCAGGAGGCUGAGGCAGGAGAAUCGCUUAAACCCAGGAGGCGGAGGUUGCAGUGAGACGAGAUUGCGCCAUUGCACUCCAGCCUGGGUGGCAGAGUGAGACUCCACCUCAAAAAAAAGAAAAAAGGAAAACCAAGCAAAAGUCACUGUCAGGGGACCUCCCACCCACCAUACAGGGGAACACUCGGCAGAGCCAGAGGCCUGGGCCCAAGUCCUGCCACCAGCUGGCUGUGAAACUGUGGUACAGCACCUUGUGUCCUGCCACCAGCCGGCUGUGAAACUGGUACAGCACCUUGUCCUCAGGUCCUUGGUUUCCUCACUUGUAAAUUCAUGGUUCUCCAUGGCAUCUCUGGUCUUCAACAUUAUUUUGCAUAGAGUCUCAGAAGCUUUAGUGUGAGCGGAUGAUAUGGGCACGAAGCAAGGCACCCAGAAGUGGGGGCAACUACUCUGCUUUCUAAAAUGCAAGGGAACCGGAAAAUCCAGGAGCCGUGCCAAAUGAGAAGAGGAACAAAUGGAGGAACAUCCCAGUCAAGUGACAUUCCUAGUGACAUUCACCAGAACAGAGUCAAGCUUUGGAUCCCAUGUUCUGUGACUUCCUCUUCACCACGCUUCCUCCACACACGUAGCAGCUCAAGGGUUUCUGAUGAGUGGGAGGCUUGACUAGAAUUGAAUUCGAGACAAGCACAAAGAUCAUGAUGCAAAUGAAAGGGACAGAGGGGAGAGAAACAGAAAACAAGUGAGUCAAAUUUGAGCAUUGCACCCAGUGGAGAAGCAUGUGUGGCCAGGGAGCUGCAUGAAGGUGAAAUCAGAACCUGUCCUUGGAGCACUCCUGGAAGUAUGAGCAGGGGUGCAGUCAGGACGGCCUGACUCUCUGACCCUGUGACUGAGCCACAGGGGUCUCUUCUAUGCUUCACUGUGCUUCUUCAAUCUUGCCAUCACUGUGUUGAAAAAGCAUCCCUGGGCAUUUGUGGUGAAGCCAUUGGCAGAGCAUCAACAGUCUUUCCAAUGUACCAGUCCCACAGGGACCAGCCCCGGCUCCUUUACUUGGUUCAUCAUCCCACAAAAAAGGCUCCAGAGUGAUGAGUGGAGGGAAUGUGUAUACAAGCUGGGAGAUGCUUCAGGGAUGGGGCAUGACUCUGAGAAGCUCCACAUGCAAAACAGGGUUAUGAUGGUCUAGGAGCCAGCUGCAGGGAGGUGGGCAGCCAGGAGGUGGGCUGGGGCUAUCAGGGGAGUGACUGACUGCAAGGGCAGGCUCAAGGUGAAACUUUGAGAGGCAGAUCCCAAGGCCCUUGGAUCUGGCCUGUUACAGCAAAUGGAGGAGUAAGGCAGAAAAGUCCUCUAGGGCUGUCUUCUACUCUCUCCUCCAACAGAUUUUCACUGAGCAUUUGCCAUGAGCCAGACUCUGUUAGCUGUUGAGGUUUCAAGGGAAGGUAGAAAAGACAGAAGCAAACCAAUGAUAAAGAUAUCUAUUGUCUUUUAGUGACUUUCAUACACGCUCCCUCUCUUUUUUAUUCUGUGCAUCUCAUUAUCUAAGGGCUCGUUUUGUACCAAAUGCUUUUAUACAUCAUCUCAUUCAAAUCUCUCUGAGGUUGGAAAUGCUAUUUUUGUUUUACAGCUGUAAAAACUAAGGCCAGAGAGGGAAAGUGAGUGACCCAGGGCCCCACAGCUAGACAGAUUCAAAUCCAUGGGGUCUAUCUUAGUGACAAAGCUGGCACAUUUCUUCCCCUCCUUGUGCCUGCUGAGGUUUUUUUGUUUUGUUUUGUUUUGUUUUUUGUUUGUUUGUUUUGGCUUUUAACAUUUUACAAUAUUUUGCUAUUUUUUCCUAAUCAGGCAAUAUACAUAAAUAUUUUAACAAUCAACUAGUUUAAGAUUUAUGAAAAACAGCGUUUUCUUGCCCACCUUCUCCCAAUUCUUCCUGCUCCCCAGAGGCAGCCACUUCCAAAUGUUAGCCAGUUCAAUUCUACAUGUAAUAGGAGAACGGCAAUUUUUAUUGAUGUGUUGAUUUGAGACAUUUGGCAUCUUCCGGUGAUGAAGUUUUGUCUCUCUCUACUGGACACCAUCUGCCUCUUCCAGAUGUAUUCUUCUCACCCUGGGCAUUCUCCCAAGAGGCUGACCUGUAGGAACGCAGUGAACAGGCUACCUGAUCACUGGCUUCUGGGUUGGGUGUGGCUCAUGAGAGACAUUGGCAGGAGACUGGAUUGGAGGAAGAUGCAGGGGCCAGAGUGUUUACUCUCCUAGAUAAGCCCCUUCCUCCUCUUCUGGCAGGCAGUGCUCUCCAUAUAGCCGCUCUCUUAGGUUCUAGAAAUUGCUCCUACCUUGCCCUUGAGCUCUCAUGCCUAGAGGUGGCAAUGACUGCCUGCUACUGUCAGUGCUAGGUACUGCACUCUGUUUUCCUAAACCCUUUUCACACUUUUAUGAAUAGUCUAUUCAUUACAAUUAGAUACAACUUACCCCCACACCAUCCCCAUACAACUAUACACUCCCCUUCCAGUAUCCUCUCAAUAUAAUUAUAUCAUAUUUGUUGACAUCAUUAGUUGGACAGUAUUUACAUUAUUAAACUAUAUAAAUAUUGCUGACUACAUAGCCAAGUAGAGAGUUAUCAGUCGUGAUUGCAUUUCCUUUUCUAAACUAAUUUUUGUUUUUCCUGCGUUUAACUGCCCAUUUUAAAAAAAGACUUAGUUUUCAAUACAUAGGUCUUUAAUUCUUUCCACACACACCAUCAGACAUGUUAAAUGCAUGUACAUGUUGUUUUCCUGUUUCAAACAUUGUAAAUUCUCUGUAUCUUUUUCUUUGGGUGGGGGGCAAGUGUGAAGUAAACCAGCCUCCAGAAUAAAUAGAACUCAGUGUUAUGGAUUCUAAAAUUAAAAUCUUAACAAAUUAACAAAGUGAUGAAAACAGGAAGUUUAGCUCUCAAGGAUCCUUUAUUGGUCUUAAAGGUUUUACUCUCUUUGGCAAAUAUUGUGACCACUUUAUAGAUGCUACAUAUUCUACUAGACAAAUACUAUGACCUCUUUCAAAGUGUAUCAUCAUUCCCCUUUUAAAUAGCACAUUCGAAGUGUGCUGACUUUUAGUUCUAGGGUCUGCCUUCCCCUUACCUGCUGAGUGUCACAGGAUCUCUUCCCUCCUUGAUUAUCUCAAGGAGAUACAUCAACUUUUGGUUCAUAAAAGAAAGUCAGUCGCUUUUAUUUGUUAAAGACUUGAAGUAUGGGCUGGGCGUGGUGGCUCACGCCUGUAAUCCCAG
rnacentral:lncRNA from 1 species